rnacentral:lncRNA from 1 species
AUAAUAAAAUAACGCAAUGUAGCCUUAUUCAUGAGCAAAUACUGUAAUCGGGUUAAUAUGUUGGUGUUUUAUUCUUAAAUGUGUAGUAGUGACGUAUAUAUAUAUGUUUCUUUGUGCAAAAACAUUUAGAAAUAAUGGAAGAUCGUACUGUUGCCUUAUUCAUAAACGGAUAUCGGGUUCAAAUGUUGGUGCUUUAUUCACAAACGGGGAGUUACAAUGGAAUUAUAUUUUGUUCUUCAUUAAAAUCAUCUGGAAAUAAUAGAACAAAGUAAUAAUGCCUUUAUCAUAAAUGGACACUAUUAUCGGGUUAAAAUGUUAGUGCUUUAUUCAUAAACGGGUAGUAAUAACGAACUAACGUAUAUGUUUCUUCCCUUAAAAACAUCCAGAAAGUAUAAAACAACGUAAUAUUGAUUUAUUCAUAUACGGGUAGUAAUAGCGGAAUUACGUACGUGUCUUUAUUUAAAAUGAUUUACGUGUAUUCAAUAGUAAUUUGGAGUCAGUAGCAACAAAGCUACAUGGGUCAGAAAACCCUGCUAAAGUAACUUUAAUAGUUCCAAACAAGAGUCGCUUGCGAUCGAUGCAAAAGCCCUACUUAAGAUGGCAUUGAGACAAGACGAAUCGAAAGCUAUGAAAAAUCGUUUUCCCUUACAAAACUUUUCUGUCCCAUAUUACAACAAGUCCACGAAAAUUAUAUAAUUCCUACACAUCAAUUUGGUUUUCGCAAAACAUGGCACAAUUGAACAAGUAAAUAGCAUAACAAAUGGAAUUAAAAAAAGAUUUCGAAUUCAAAGAGUAUUGUUCGGUCGUUUUUCUUGAUGUCGCUCCAGCACUUGACAAGGUUCAACAAGCAACAACACCAUGGCAACGGAAACUGGAAAUUCUCGCAAUUUGGAGCACCUUGUAAAAAGAUAGGAAAUCCGCCGAAAGAAAAUUUUAAAGAGAUGUUAUCGGUUUUGCAGGACUCUGUCCCUGUUUCAAGGAGAGAAGCUUGAAGAUGACCCCCGCCUGAGGUCGCGAAAAGGUCAGCAGCCACUCGUAAAGGAUAAUAUAACAGAAGAGUAUCCAGUUUUCUUUGGUCAUAAUUCUACAUAUUGUUCACCGCAAAUAUUCCUACAAGUGACAAAGUAAUUUCGUCGAAAUUUGCAGAUGAUUCUGCUAUAACAAGCUGGUUCAAAUGCACCAUAAACUAAUUUAAGAAUGGCUAGCAAAAUGGCACAUAAAGUUAAUGAGAACAAGUGCAAGCAUUUAACUUUUACGCUAAAAAAUACCCUAUUGUCAAGCUCAAUUAUGUACUAAUUCCAUAAGCUGACGAAAUUACAUACCUCAGGAGACCCAGUUAUGGAGACCAGCUUGCGGAACGAAUUUAGAUAAGUUAACGCUGUUAACACUCAAGAGAUUCAACCAUACGUUUCCCACGUACGGAAGCGCGGCAACAACAACAAUGCUGAUGCCAUGUCUGCUACGUAACAGUAGACGGUACAUGCACAGCCAUUCCGCCAAUUCAGCAACAAGUCACCUGUGCCCGUAACGUGAUACAGAAGUUUAAUGUUAAGAAAAUAAUAUUGUAAAAUUAGUCUUAGUUUUACUUUGUAUAAAAAAAGGUGACUUCGGCCAAUUUUUUUUACAAAUAUAUAAUAUAAAAUAAAAAAACUCCACAUGUGGUACAAAUAUUGGAACCGCGACAACACAACCCACAAGAACAGCUUCUCAAGUAGCAGCAACAACGGUGACAACAGUAGCUCCUCAAGUAGCAGCAACAACGGGGAAACCAACAGCUCCUCAAGUAGCAGAAACAGCGAUGAAACCAAGUAGCAGCAACCUACAACAUCAGUGCAGUCUCCUGUGACAGCAGAACGCACUAACCGUGAAGAGAACGAAAAAAGAGUGGUAUGAUAUCUUGAAAAAUCAAUAAUGGAAGACAUAUUCAGUUAUAGAAGUAAGCGAAAGAAAAUAGGGAAAUAUCGUGAAAACAAAGUUUAUAAAGUAUCUCGAAAAACAAAAUUGUAAUAGAGAUAAAAAGUAAAAGUAGAAAAAAGA